UGGGGAAUAUUGGGCAAUGGGGGAAACCCUGACCCAGCAACGCCGCGUGAAGGAAGAAGGCCUCGGUUGUAACUUCUUUAUCCACGGGAGCGAAGGACGUGACGGUACCUGGAGAAAAAGCAACGGCUAACUACGUGCCAGCAGCCGCGGUAAUACGUAGGUUGCGAGCGUUGUCCGGAUUUACUGGGUGUAAAGGGCGUGUAGGCGGAGAAGCAAGUUGGGAGUGAAAUCUAUGGGCUCAACCCAUAAACUGCUCUCAAAACUGUUUCCCCUUGAGUAUCGGAGAGGCAAGCGGAAUUCCUAGUGUAGCGGUGAAAUGCGUAGAUAUUAGGAGGAACACCAGUGGCGAAGGCGGCUUGCUGGACGACAACUGACGCUGAGGCGCGAAAGCGUGGGGAGCAAACAGGAUUAGAUACCC
rnacentral:rRNA from 1 species